AAGCGGAUGAAUUUUACAACU
rnacentral:snRNA from 1 species